GCUUCCCGAUAAGGGAGCAGGCCAGUAAAAGCAUUACCCGUGGUGGGGUUCCCGAGCGGCCAAAGGGAGCAGACUCUAAAUCUGCCGUCAUCGACUUCGAAGGUUCGAAUCCUUCCCCCACCACCAUCACUUUCAAAAGUCCGAAAGAAUU
rnacentral:misc_RNA from 1 species